rnacentral:rRNA from 1 species
AAUCAACGCUGGCGGCGUGCCUCAGACAUGCAAGUCGAACGCUGCUGUUCGCCUUCGGGUGGACAGCGGAGUGGCGCACGGGUGAGUAACACGUAGGUAAUCUACCUUUGGGUGGGAAUAACAGCCGGAAACGGCUGCUAAUACCGCAUAAUGCAGCGGCAUCACAUGAUGACAGUUGUUAAAGCGAGGGAUCGUAAGACCUCGCGCCUGAAGAGGAGCCUGCGGCAGAUUAGGUAGUUGGUGAGGUAAUGGCUCACCAAGCCUGCGAUCUGUAACCGGCCUGAGAGGGGCGGUCGGUCACAC